rnacentral:rRNA from 1 species
UACGGGGGGGGCAAGCGUUGUUCGGAAUUACUGGGCGUAAAGGGCUCGUAGGCGGCCAACUAAGUCAGACGUGAAAUCCCCAGGCUUAACCUGGGAACUGCGUCUGAUACUGGAUGGCUUGAAUUCGGGAGAGGGAUGCAGAAUUCCAGGUGUAGCGGUGAAAUGCGUAGAUAUCUGGAGGAAUACCGGUGGCGAAGGCGGCAUCCUGGACCGACAUUGACGCUGAGGAGCGAAAGCCAGGGGAGCGAACGGG